CGAGAGGACCGGAGUGGACGCAUCACUGGUGUUCGGGUUGUCAUGCCAAUGGCACUGCCCGGUAGCUAAAUGCGGAAGAGAUAAGUGCUGAAAGCAUCUAAGCACGAAACUUGCCCCGAGAUGAGUUCUCCCUGACUCCUUGAGAGUCCUGAAGGAACGUUGAAGACGACGACGUUGAUAGGCCGGGUGUGUAAGCGCAGCGAUGCGUUGAGCUAACCGGUACUAAUGAACCGUGAGGCUUAACCUUACAACGCCGAAGCUGUU
rnacentral:rRNA from 1 species